GGAGGAUUACCCAAGUCUGGCUGAAGGGAACGGUCUUGAAAACCGUCAGGUGGGUAAAACCACGCAAGAGUUCGAAUCUCUUAUCCUCCU
rnacentral:tRNA from 19 species